rnacentral:tRNA from 1 species
UCCCCGAUGGACUAGUGGCUAAGAUUCUGUACUCCCAUGCAGGGAGCCUGGGUUCAAUUCCUAGUCAGGGAA